UUUAACAUGACAAACGUAAAUUAAAUUGGACAAAAUUUGUUAAUAUCUAGAUUUGUAAUGAUUAUCAGAAGUCUCGUGAUUUGAACAACAAAAUAAUCAUAUCUUUGAACAAUAUACGUUUUAAUUCGAAAGAAAGAAACUUACACAAAAGCUUAAGAAGUAUUUACAUCAAAAGAAAGUUUUCGCAUAAAGUACUGUUGUAAUCAGCAUAUAAAAUUCUAUCGAACCCUAUUUCUGGUUGUUAGCUGACUGAAAUUUAAUUAUAUACAUAUGUAUGUACAUUUACUCUUGAGCGCUCAAGAUAAAAAUCGAAAAUGCAAUAUUUUUGUAUUUAUUGGUAACGUUGUAGUUCCGAGCAUCAACCCCCAAAUUAUUUUAAAUAGAAAUAAUUUUUUUUAUGAAGAAGAUUACUGGUAUUACCACUUAAAUUAGUUGGAAAGUGAAUAUAUUGUUUCACAAUGUCUUUGACAACAUAUGUAUAUGUAUAUCCACUCUCGGAAGACCUAUGUUAAUCCAUGAACGAUUUUUGGAGAGCGUUUACUUGCAAUAAAAUUUAAUACAUAUACCUCGAUUAGCAGUAAAAACAUGUAAAUGAAGUUAUUUGAUGACAAACUCCACAUGCACGUAAUUUUCACAUAAUUGAAAGAUGCGAAAGUCAAAACAAAGCAGAUUGGGCAAAGUUUUACUGCCUUCUAACUUUUUAGCAAAAAUUUUAGUUUCUAUGAUUUUUAAUACUUUUUCUUUAGAAUUUGUUCUGAAGUAAAUAUGAUCUGGAAGGGGACCGCGCUAGCUUCGUUAUUCGUGCGCGUUAUUCACAUGGGGAAAACGUUUUCAGAGGUGUGGCCAAGACCAGACCGUUAAUUGGCUCUCAGCGAUUUUCAAGUAAUCAACUGAUUGGCUGACGCAACCGGAGUCAUGACUGCGAGGCAAUAUUGGAGCGAUUUCGUACAGUGGAAAAAUUAUACCAUACAUUUUUGAAAAUCGUCGAGCAAGCAAUCUCUGUGGGCAGUAUCUCUUAUUGGUGUAUGUUGAGCGACAUGGUUUCAGGAAGAUUGCGCCACGCCGCACACGACCGGAGUGACCAUGGCGAUACUGCGUGAUUUCUUCCAUAACAAACUGAUAAGCCGUUUCCCCACACAGGUCGUAUGAUCUUACCCCUAUGGACGUUUUUCUGUGGGUGUUUUUCAAAACUUUCAAUUCCUAAUUCUGCCACCGGACACUUCGUACAACGAAGUCAUACGGAUGAAAAGAGUACAAAAAGAUUGAAUACCUAUUAGCACUAUGAAAGAAAAAAUAGAGGAAGCGU